AUUGAACGCUGGCGGCAGGCUUAACACAUGCAAGUCGAGCGGGGGCUUCGGUCCUAGCGGCGAACGGGUGAGGAAUGCUUGGGAAUCUGCCCAGUAGCGGGGGAUAACGUUUCGAAAGGAACGCUAAUACCGCAUACGCCCUACGGGGGAAAGGGGGGGAUCUUCGGACCUCUCACUAUUGGAUGAGCCCAAGUCGGAUUAGCUAGUUGGUGGGGUAAAGGCCUACCAAGGCGACGAUCCGUAGCUGGUCUGAGAGGAUGAUCAGCCACACUGGAACUGAGACACGGUCCAGACUCCGACGGGAGGCAGCAGUGGGGAAUAUUGGACAAUGGGCGAAAGCCUGAUCCAGCCAUGCCGCGUGUGUGAAGAAGGCCUUCGGGUUGUAAAGCACUUUAAGCGAGGAGGAAUGGCUGAGGGUUAAUAACCUUCAGCAGUGACGUUACUCGCAGAAUAAGCACCGGCUAACUCUGUGCCAGCAGCCGCAGUAAAAC
rnacentral:rRNA from 1 species